rnacentral:rRNA from 1 species
AUAAAUUAAAACUUUUAACAACGGAUCUCUUGGUUCUGGCAUCGAUGAAGAACGCAGCGAAAUGCGAUAAGUAAUGUGAAUUGCAGAAUUCAGUGAAUCAUCGAAUCUUUGAACGCACAUUGCGCCCCCUGGUAUUCCGGGGGGCAUGCCUGUUCGAGCGUCAUUU